AAUAGAUAAACAGAGCUAGCCAUUUCUCACCUACUUUAACUUUUGAAUAUAACUAAUCUAAACCUUUUUCUGAACUGUUCCUAUACUUGGUUUCACAGUGGAAAGUUUUAAAAAAAAAAGGAACACCAAAAUUUUCUGCAGUUAAAAGGCUUUUUAUCUGGACUCCCAUUUCUCAAAUUUUUGCAUGGGAGUCAGAUUUUUCUUCUCUUAUGUAGACUGUUAAAUCAUUAAGAUUUGUUGAAUCUCAGAGUGCUCCAGUUGGACACAUAUUUAAUUUGUGAAGAUAUUUUAAUUAUUGGUUUUGACUUCAGAUCCAAAUUGAUUCUAGAUAUUUUCUAUCCCGGAAUUAAUUUAUUUUAUAAUCCUCGGGUUUCUGAGGCUUAGAUGGUAUCCUUAUAAUCUUUCCUAAUAGCAAAUUAUGCUUCAUUAUUCAGUAACAGAAUUGCUAUACUCUUUUAUUUUUUAUUUUUUUUUUAUACUCUUUUACAUGUUCUUAAAGAGUAGAACUUUCAGAGUGUAUUUCCAAGUAAUAAAAUUAUUUAAUCUUAUGGGAAACAACUAUAAAUAAUCCUACUGUGCUUUUGCAUUUUCAAAUUGAGUUUGUUUUCAAAGCAUAUUUCACUGUAUAUUUGUGUUUCAUGAUAACAGACUCAGCAAAUUUAGCUGCUGAAAGCCAUUUAAGUAUAUUUAUAUAUUGAGAUCUUGCACAAUUUAUAUUUUUCAUGUCUAUAAAGCAAAAUUAUAUUUGAUAGAUAACACUAUUAUAUGAUGUGAUGCUUUCAUAAACAAAAGUAUCUUUCAAAAAUUGGUGCAUGUCACCAUACCCUAUUAAAAGUGGACGUAUGUAUAUGUUGUUAUUUAAUUGUUAUAUCUAUUUUGACCUCUGAGUAACCUCUGCCAGCAUUAUUUCAAGAGAAAGCAUACAUCAUUUACUAAUUUAUAUAUUCACUUACUUGUAUCAUGUUUUAUGUAUUAUAUGUUAUUAUAUCUUUAUAUUUACAUUACUAAUAUAGUCUAAAAAGACAAGUACUAUAUAAAAUAAAAGCAAUGUUACAUUGCUUUUGCAUGGCUCUUAACUACUGUUUGGAUAUAUAUUUUCUUUUAUCUUCUUAAAACCUUUUGAAAUAAGAUUUAUAAUCCUGUACAUUUGUUUAAAAAAGACUGAGAUAUGGUAGCAAUAAAUGAUAUGCCAAAGUCACAAAUUCUGAUAAAUUCAGUGCUAGAAUUAACAUACAGCUUUCCUGAAUCACAAUUCAAUAAUAUUUCAAGUGCAGAUUGUCAAAAGUAAGGAUUAAAAUAACUUUAACAGUUCCCUUUGAAGAUAUGUGUGUGUGUAUGUGUGUGUGCACAUGCACGAGUGUGUGCCUCUAUAAUAUUUUUAUGUGAAAUGGUUCAAUAAGCUGCCUGGCACAUCCAGAAAUGCCCCCAAUUAAAAUCAAACAUAUAUUAGAAAUAUUUCACAAUAUGUAGGUUUUAUUUUUUCCCUUGUGAUCAUUAUCUCUUCUUUGAGAAAUGGCCUCUAAUAAAGAUAUUCAUUUGGCCCCAGGAUACGUGUACAUUAAGGAAAUAAAAACCUCAAGAGUUCUCCCUUCCCUAUUAUAUCCAUAAGAUAUUUGUCAAACAUCCCUAGGGCCUUUCCCUUACUGGUCAGCUGUGCACAGAGAUCAUUAUGAAAACUUCAUGUAGUUUUGCACUAUAACUUUGUGAUCCUUCAGAGCCAUUAUAUCUUCUAAGACUUCCUUGUGCUUUAUUGAAAGCUUCAGGGAAAAUAAAUAUGUCUUUCUAGACUCAGAACUUGAAAUGACAGUGGACUCAAGAGAUCAAGGUUAUCAAAACACAAGUUCUGUGUUAUGGCUUCUGUUUAUCUGCAGGAAAGCUGCCAAGGUGAAAGGGGUUGUUGUUAUUUUUAAAGUAUUGAAUUAUCUGGAAGAGGAAUUUCUUAUCAGUAUAGAUUAUUUUUGUUUCCAAUUCUAAAUGUUGACCUUAUUUUUGAUAUCAUCUCUGUCCUUUGACAGUUAUUAGCUUAUAGAUGAUUGUGGGGAAAAUAACUCCCAAACUUGUACACCCAGGAGGUUAUUGGGGAUGUUUGGCUAUGUGUUUGCUUUCAAAGAGGAAAAAAGAGAGGUGGAAAUGAAGAGAAAGAUCCUAUUAAAACAAGACCUUCAUAUUCACCACAUUUUAAAGUAAAAAUGUUUACUCCCACAGAUACUCAAUAUUUAUUUUGUGGUUUCUUGUGUCUUUUGUUUACCAAUGUAUAUAUCCAAAGGAAAGGGUAAAUACCCUGGUUUUCAAAGUAUUACAUUAAUGGUAUUUUGAGGAUGAUUUGUAUGCAGUUCUUUUUAAAGGAAAUAUUUAAGAAUGAAAAGAUGCUAUUGAAAAUUAUGUAAUAUCUACACACCUCUUAUAGACACUGAAAUUAUCCUAUAGGUUGUGUUUUUAUAGGAUCAGUUUAAUAAUCCCGAAAGGAAGUUAAAUCUAUUUCACUCCUGCUGAUUUUUGCACAGUGGGUUUUGAAAAAAGUUCCUUUAUGAAGUUAAAAGUUGCUUAUAGAUUCAGUGAGAUAAUGCAGCCUUAUAGAACUAUUUCCUGUCUACAGAUUUUUCUAACUCUUAGUUUAUCAGUUGUUCAUUUUACCCUCCUCCUUCUAUCUAUAAUGGAUGAUAUCAGGUGCAGCUGAUCCAAGUGAACCUUCAUGUGUAUCCUAAAGAAUAAGCCACAUGUUUAGAAUACCUUAUAAAUUUUCCUUUCAAGAGGGUGCUAUUUUAGGUCUGUGUUGAUUUAGUUAUAGGCCCUGGCUUAUUUAUGUGGAUCAGUACAAUAUGCAGAUAAUUUUGUUUGUUGAAAAUUUAAAAGCUACAAGCAUUUAGCCCAUGACAUUGGCCUUAGUACUGAAAGUCAGUGAGCCAUGAUACAUGUGAUCUGAGGAAUUAUCCACUGGAAGCACAUGAACCCAUGGUGGGAUAAAGAUGGUCUUCAGGGAGACCUCCAUGGCAGGCACAAUUAUUGCUCCAAGACUUCUAUUUUCAUAAUGUUGUCAGCAUUGGCCAGUAAAUCAGUAAAACCACCAGUCAGACCAUGCCCUUGGCAAAAUAUGAUACGGCAUAAUUACAAAGGAGAUUUUUAGAGAACACUCCCCAGAGUCCUUUGUGCUAAGUGCCUACGGGGUUUUUUUCUGCUGGUCUAUGAUUUGAUCAUGGCCAUACAUGUAUCUCCUUCCUCCAGGCUUCCUUUAUCUGUGGACUUUAUUUUGAAAUUUUUAUAUUAAGGCAAUGACUGCAUAUAACCAAUUAUAAAAAAUGCUGCUUAUAAAUAAAAAUAGUGAAGAACCCACCUGUUUCCUCUGGAAAUCUCACGUUCAAUUAGGUUUCAGUAAGAUUUGAUCUGGCUAAUCACUCAAUAUAUUAUUAUUUAUUUAGGUGUUAGAGGAACCAUGGCUAAUUUGUCAUCAUCCUGCUUAGUUGACAAUAAUGCUAAUACUGACUAUAUGUAAACAUUUGAUUUAAAAUACUGUUUCAAAGCUAUGACACACAUCUAGGGUCCUGCACGUACACCAAAGGCAAGAGGAUGUGCUUUUGCUUUUCCAGAUUAGCUUGUAGGAAACUUGGAGUUCUGGAUAAGUUAGAUGGCAUAUUCUUUAUUAUCACUCUAACUGUAGAAGUGACAGAGGACUUGGGAGGCUGUAUUACCACAGACAUGCAAGUGCCUACUUUCACAUUCUCUCAUUUUGGCACCUAUUAUGGGUGGGACUCAAACUUGGCACUCAAAAUUCUUAUGCUCUAAGUAGGACCAUAGACCUAUAAAGAUAUUAGAGUAGAGAUAUUUACAGAAAAAGAAUUUUCUUUUAAAAGAUCUGAGCAUACUUCACCAAAAGGGAAAAGUUCCAUCUUAAGGACUUGCUGAGUCAAGAAGAUGAGGAAAGUAAUCCUGAUAGCAUAGUCCUGAAGCAUGGGAGAAUAUGCUAUUGAUAUUGUUUUUGAGUUUACAAAAUGUUUUCCAGUACAUUGAAUGCUUUAAUAUUUCACCAGCCUUGCAUGACAAGUAUUACAUCAAGAGAAGUUAAAUGAUUUAUGCAGAGUCACCUAGAUAAUAAGUGUCAGAACUAGAAUUUGAAUGAACUAAUUCCUUCAUUUGGUCAAAACCACUUAUUAGAUAUCAAAAGAAAGAAAAAAAAAA
rnacentral:lncRNA from 1 species